rfam:Echinops telfairi cont1.564319, whole genome shotgun sequence.
GGGAAACGGGGUGGGGGCUGGGGCAGUGAGCCACCCCAGGCCUUAAGCAGUACAGGCUCA